ACCAGACUCCUACGGGAGGCAGCAGUGGGGAAUAUUGCACAAUGGGGGGAACCCUGAUGCAGCGACGCCGCGUGGGUGAAGGAGUACUUCGGUACGUAAAGCCCUAUCAGCAGGAAAGAAAAUGACGGUACCUGACUAAGAAGCCCCGGCUAACUACGUGCCAGCAGCCGCGGUAAUACGUAGGGGGCAAGCGUUAUCCGGAUUUACUGGGUGUAAAGGGAGCGUAGACGGCAGUGCAAGUCCGGAGUGAAAGCCCGGGGCUCAACCCUGGGACUGCUCUGGAAACUGUAAAGCUGGAGUGCGGGAGGGGCAGGCGGAAUUCCUGGUGUAGCGGUGAAAUGCGUAGAUAUCAGGAGGAACACCGGCGGCGAAGGCGGCCUACUGGACGGUGACUGACGCUGAGGCUCGAAAGCGUGGGGAGCAAACAGGAUUAGAUACCCGGGUAACG
rnacentral:rRNA from 1 species